rnacentral:rRNA from 1 species
AAAACACUCCUACGGGAGGCAGCAGUGGGGAAUAUUGCACAAUGGGCGCAAGCCUGAUGCAGCCAUGCCGCGUGUAUGAAGAAGGCCUUCGGGUUGUAAAGUACUUUCAGCGAGGAGGAAGGUGUUGUGGUUAAUAACCGCAGCAAUUGACGUUACUCGCAGAAGAAGCACCGGCUAACUCCGUGCCAGCAGCCGCGGUAAUACGGAGGGUGCAAGCGUUAAUCGGAAUUACUGGGCGUAAAGCGCACGCAGGCGGUCUGUCAAGUCGGAUGUGAAAUCCCCGGGCUCAACCUGGGAACUGCAUCCGAAACUGGCAGGCUAGAGUCUUGUAGAGGGGGGU